GCGAGGCGGGCAGGCAGCGGGGCCGGUGGAUGCGCGGGGCGCGGCAUCUCGGCGUCCGGGCGGCCGCGGGGUCGCUGUGCGCCCUGCGCUCGGGGAGGCGUGGCCCGGAGCACGGAGUGUGAUGUGAGCGGCCGGGCGGCCGCGGAGAGCAGUGCCGGGAGGAGGAGCGAGGGGUCCCGGAGGGCGGCGAGCGGGCGGGCCAUGGGAGCCGCUCCCGGGUGGGCAGAGCCACGCGUGGGUCGGCGAGGCUGAGGACAUGCCCGGGCUCUGCUGCUGACCGCCUCCGGCGGGAACCCGGCUGCCGGAGCCUCGGCGAGGCUAGCCAGAGGGGAGCCCCGCAGCGUUUGCUAAACCGAAGCAGAAGCCGUUGAGUCAGCGUUUGUCCGGUUGGAAAGAGCCCACACCUGUGUUUUGAGGCACUUUGGGAGGAAAUUGGAUGCGAAAAUGAAGCCAGACCGAGGAUCAAGCAUUCCUGUGUCAGAUGUGACGAACAGUCUCUGUGAAGACAUCAGCCGCUGAGGAAAAGAUGGACUUACGGAGUAGGUGGUUAAAGUCAGAUGGGAGGAGGACCCGUUCUUAGGCAGUGUUUGGUGUGUGCCAGAAAGAAGUUGUCAAGAGUAGCACUUGUGAGUGGCCACAGGCGUAGAGUCCUUUUUAGUUGCUGUUCCUCAUUUCUUUUCAGGUAAAGUCAAUCCAACUUCAGAACUCUGUCAACUUUUGGAAGUUGAGUUUGAACUUCAUUAGCUUUUGUUUUUGUUUUUUGGUUUUUUUUUUUUUUUUUUUGUAGUGUGUUUGUUGUUGUUGUUUGUUUUUUAGAUAGGGUUUUGUCAAGUUGUCUAGGCUGACACGGGUCUCACCAUGUAACCCGGGCUGGCCCAGAACUCACUCACUAAUGAUCUUUUUAACUUUGCCUCCACAGUAUUGGCAUUACAGGCAUGCACCGCUGUGAACCCGCAUUACUUGAAGUUUGUGCUCUAAGUGAAUUUCAAUUGUUUUCAGAGUACCCCAGCCUCAGUUUCUCAGUUGCACAAUCAGGGCCUAACUUUCCAUUCUAAACCUGUAUUUUCUUUUCUUUCUUUUUGUGGAGGAGGAGGCAGGGUUUUUCGACAGGGUUUCUCUGUGUAGCUCUGGCUGUUGUAGAUCUUGUUCUGUAGACCUGGCUGGCCUUGAACUCACAGAGAUCUGCCUGCUUCUGCCUCUCAGGUGCUGGAAUUAAAGGCACCACCCAGCUCUAAACCUGUAUUUUCAAGACUUAGAGAAUAAUGUAUAUAUCUUGCCCCUCUUCCCCCCAACCCUAUUAUUUUGAAUGAAAUAUAAAGGUAUCUGUCACAACUCAGUGGGGAAAAGUGCCACAAAGCCUGGUGAUCUGGGUUCAGACCCCAGAACUUACAAGGUAGAAGGAGAGAACUGAUUUCUGAAAGCUGACCUCUGGCCUCAUCUCAUGUCCCUUUGCAUACGGUGAACACACUGACCCAAAAAGUGAAUAUUUUUAAGGUAAUUUUAAAAAAUGCCUUAAAAGGAAAAGGUUUAUCAUAUUACCCCAGGCUGGCCUACAGCUAGGACCUCUCCUGCCUCUGUCUCUUGGGUGCUGAGACUGCAGGCACAUAGCACCACACCCGCCUCAUUUUGCUUUUCAAAGAGGUCAGAAGAAGUUUAUCAGCCUUGUGAUUAAGGAUCAGGGCAAUUCUGGGAGGAGUUUGCUACAGUAGGGGUUAGUAGUGAGGGCUUCUUAGGUUUGAGUUUGACUCCAAGGAAUUAUACAGUAGGUAUGUCGUAUGUGGAAGAAAGGGCUAGACAGCAGCAUUCAUUCAAAGCUGAGCUUCCAGGGUUGGAAAUAGUGAUUUAUCCUCUGAGGUAGACUUACAAGAACCUAAACAUCAAAACCAUUAUUUUCCUGUAUAUAUUUUUCAAAAUGAUUAGAAACACAAAUAUACUAGUUAAAAUGUCUUCUGGUCAUAAUGUUUAUUAAAAUAUACUAGGGAAAAGUGGGAGACAGCUAUAUUUAAAACAUGCUUUAAAUUAUUUUCUGGGUGUCUUACUGUUAAUUAAAAUGAGUUCGUUGUGAAUGCCUGUAGAAGUGUCAUCAAGUACAUUGCUACCAAGAGGAGCGCCUGUGUACCAUGCUAAGUUUAGAUUUUUAGAUUACAUCAGUGACUGUGGAAAAACUGGCACCGAGGUCAGAGGCUGCGUCUCAGAAUAAACAAGCAAAUAAAAUCAAA